GUGGGGUUGGGGGCGGGAAGAGUUAUAGAGCUCCUUCUGGGAUCCGUAAGUCCCCAGAUAUUGGAAGGGACACCAGCCUUUACAGUAAUGACAGCCAGAUUCCAGCUUUCGUAUGAAGCUACCAGCUGCCUUAGAAAGGACCCACAGAUAAGAGGUAGUCUGUGUCUGCUCAACUCAGCCUCCAAGAGAACAUGUUCCAAAACCCUGCGGCAAGAGGGUGAGAACGAUUAAGACAACAUUUUGCGAUACUUACCAGGUGAUGUCUACAUCCUUCCAACUCAUGGUGACUUUGGGAAUGGCCGUCCAGAGGCUCAGGAGUGGAGAUGCUGCUGUCAGGCACGGAGGAGGUUCAAGAGUGCCUGGACUCCAGCACCCAAAAUGAGCAGGAAGGCCCAGAUGAAGAUUUCUGUCAGGACAUACUUUUGCUCUGAGAAGAGUAGCAAGUCUUGAACCGAGGUCACGGGUGUCUUGAGGUGUCUGUUCCAGCUUCAUAAAUAUUAAGCAUUAUUUCUCACAUGUCUUAUACAUUUUUGUGUAAUCCCUGUAAUAUAAGGGCAGGUAUAAUUGUAUAUGCUUUAUAAAAUGUGUGACAGAUACAAUUAGCCUUACUUUCUACAUGGGGAGACUGAGACUCGGAUGAGAAAAGUCAGUCUUUCAAGUCACACAUUUCAUCGCCGGCGGAGUCUGGGGCAUGAGUUCCUAUCUCCUGAUUCCCAGGUACAUGCUGUUUUUGCUAGACUCAAAGUAUUAAAGAAUCCAGACUCUUUGGAAGUAAUGAGGGAUUCCAGAAAUAGCCUUAGCAGUGCUUAACAAUUUGAAAGACCAAAGGCACUGAGGCCAAAGAAGAUUG